UAAUGAUAGUGAGGGCAAUUUCUUAGAAUCCCCUUAAACCUCUCCCAAGCUUGGUAGAGAUUUUUUCCUUUUUUUCUACCUGAAACUCAGAAUAUCAAUUUUCAAACA
rfam:Capsicum annuum cultivar Zunla-1 chromosome 5, whole genome shotgun sequence